AGUAAAAGUCGUAACAAGGUCUCCGUUGGUGAACCAGCGGAGGGAUCAUUACUGAGUUUACGCUCUAUAACCCUUUGUGAACAUACCUAUAACUGUUGCUUCGGCGGGUAGGGUCUCCGCGACCCUCCCGGCCUCCCGCCUCCGGGCGGGUCGGCGCCCGCCGGAGGAUAACCAAACUCUGAUUUAACGACGUUUCUUCUGAGUGGUACAAGCAAAUAAUCAAAACUUUUAACAACGGAUCUCUUGGUUCUGGCAUCGAUGAAGAACGCAGCGAAAUGCGAUAAGUAAUGUGAAUUGCAGAAUUCAGUGAAUCAUCGAAUCUUUGAACGCACAUUGCGCCCGCCAGCAUUCUGGCGGGCAUGCCUGUUCGAGCGUCAUUUCAACCCUCAAGCUCUGCUUGGUGUUGGGGCCCUACAGCUGAUGUAGGCCCUCAAAGGUAGUGGCGGACCCUCCCGGAGCCUCCUUUGCGUAGUAACUUUACGUCUCGCACUGGGAUCCGGAGGGACUCUUGCCGUAAAACCCCCCAAUUUUCCAAAGGUUGACCUCGGAUCAGGUAGGAAUACCCGCUGAACUUAAGCA
rnacentral:rRNA from 1 species